rnacentral:ncRNA from 1 species
AGAGUUUGAUCCUGGUCAGAAGAACGCUAGCUAUAUGCUUAACACAUGCAAGUCGAACGUUGUUUUCGGGAGCUGGGCAGAAGGAAAAAGAGGCUCCUAGCGUGAAGGUAGCUUGUUCGCCCAGGAGGUGGGAACAGUUGAAAACAAAGUAGCGAACGUGCGUAAUGCGUGGAAAUCUGCGAACGUUCGGGCCCAAAUCCUGAAGAAGCUAAAAAGGCCUGUUUGAUGAGCCCUGCGUAGUAAUAGAGGAGUUGGUCAGGUAAUGUGCAAGCAAUGAGCUUAGCUUGUCUUUUAAAUGAUCAGCACACGGACUGAGAAGCCCGGACUCCCACGGGGGGAGCAGUGGGGAUCUUGGACAAUUAGCCCGAUCCAGCAAUAUCGCGUGAGUGAAGAAAGGCAAAUGCCGCUGUUAAAGCUCUUUCGUCGAGUGCCGAUAUAACAGAUUCGGAAGAAUGCUAACUGUGCAGCAGCCGCUGGUAAGACCGAGGGCAAGUGUUCUUUCGGAUGACUGGCGUAAAGGGCACGGUAGGUGUUAAUCGGGUUGAUAAGUGAAAGUCGCAAAACUGUGGAAAGUCUCGAAACCAUUCACUUGAGAUGAGACAGAGGAGAUGGAAUUUCGUGUGUAGGGGUGAAAUCCGCAGAUCUACGAUAGGAACGCAAAAGCGAAGGCAGCUCUCUGGGUCCCUACCGACGCUGGAGUGCGAAAGCAUGGGGAGCGAACGGGAUUAGAUACCCUGGACGUCCAUGCCGUAAACGAUGAGUGUUCGCCCUUGGUCUACGUGGAUCAGGGGCCCAGCUAACGCGUGAAACACUCGCUGGGGAGUACGGUCGCAAGACCGAAACUCAAAGGAAUUGACGGGGGCUGCACAAGCGGUGGAGCAUGUGUUUAAUUCGAUACAACGCGCAAAACCUUACCAGACCCUUUGACAUAUUAUGAACAAGAAAACCUGUCCUUAACGGGAUGGUACUGACUUUCAUACAGGUGCUGCAUGGCUGUCGUCAGCUUCGUGUCGUGAGAUGUUUGGUCAAGUCCUAUAACGAGCGAAACCUCGUUUUGUGUUGCUGAGACCAUGCGCCUAAGGAGAAAGUCUUUGCAACCGAAGUGAGCUGAGAGCCGAGUGACGCGCCGCGCUACUAAUUGAGUGCCAGCACGUAGCUGUGCUGUCAGUAGAGAGGGAGGCCGGCGCCUUCGAAUUCGAAGCACUCUUCUUGUGCGCUGUUUUUGGAUUGCAGCUUAGCGAGCAAGAAAAACGGAUGCGCGCGAACGGCUUUCGCGCAGCUCAAUCCCUUGCUUGUUGCUUUACUAAAUAGAAAGUUUUCUCGCUUGUUAGGUAGAAAGUACCAGUUUUGGCCUUCUCUUGCAGGGUGACGACGACGUCGAGUUGGCGGCGGAAGAAAGACUCGGCAUUCAGGCGAGCCGCGUGGUGUGUGGUACCGUAGUGGUUUUAGACGCCCCGCCAAAACAAACGGUCCGAAACAAACUAAAAGGUGCAUGCCGCACUCACGAGGGACUGCCAGUGAUAUACUGGAGGAAGGUGGGGAUGACGUCAAGUCCGCAUGGCUUAUGGGCUGUAGGCCACACACGUCUACAAUGGCAAUCUACAAUGGAAGCAAGGCUGUAAGGCGGAGCGAAUCCGGAAGUUGCCUCAGUUCGGAAUGUUCUCUGCAACUCGGAACAUUGAAGUUUGGAAUCGCUAGAAUCGCGGGAUCAGCAUGCCGCGGUGAAUUGUACCCGGCUGACACACCGCCUCGUUCACACCCUGGGAAUUGGUUUCGCCCGAAGCAUCGGACCAAUGAUCACCCAUGACUUCUGUGUACCACUAGUGCCACAAAGGCUUUUGGUGGUCUUAUUGGCGCAUACCACGGUGGGGUCUUCGACUGGGGUGAAGUCGUAACAAGGUAGCCGUAGGGGAACCUGUGGCUG